GGCUGAGUUUUCCGUGGAAAGUCGAAGAGACUGCGCGCUUUUCGAGGCAAUUUUCCCGAGCCAAUGCAUUUAGAAAAGUCGAGCCAUCGGCCCCGUGUGCAGUGCUUACGGAAAAGCUCCCGAAGUCCCCGAAAAAGCUCGGGAGGGAAAGCUUGUGCCGCUUUCGCAGAUGCAACUUGCCAAGUCAAGCUGCACCUACUACCUACGCUCAAAAUGGCGGCUCUGUCGGCGGAAUGCCGAUAAAUCAAAGUUCCUCAUUUUAAAAAUGUCAAGUGACCACCGCGCCAUCACACAGCAGCGGGUACAUUAAUAGGGAUGGUACUUUUCCUUGACACUUAUGUAACAAGACGGUAGGAGUGCCACUCAAUCAUCCACAAACAAGUCGUGUUAAAGCGACUUAUCCUGUCAUGUAUACAUUUCCCUGAAAUAGCCUGGCUUAAAGGGAUGCGACCCGAGCCACUCAGCCGUCGAAAAGUAAUUGUAACCCGAUCCUGUGUCGCUGGAUGUACAUAAAUACCAGUUCCAGUUUCCGCCGAUCGAGCCCAAGUUCAUUGGGAGCACGGAGUGUGGAAUGGGCGAUGUCCGGCCUGACGUUUAUGAAAAGCCAUCGCAGCAUCAAAGCCAAUUAAGAUACCGGGCACAUACAAGCUCUAAAGGAAUACGCGGCUAAUUUCUGCGACAAAGCCGACAAACGAUCGAGUUCGAGGUGGAGCGUCU